GCUUAGGAAUGAAGCAGAGGUCACACUGUCUGUGACAAAGGGCGUACCAGCUUUUGGAACUGUUCACGUGGACAGACACCUGGAUAAAAGUAUAACCAACAAGGCCCCGCUGUGGGAUAGGACUGUUAUCCUCAGGCCUGUAACCAUCCAUCCGGACCUCAGGCUCUCCAGAGUCUUGAUUUAGGGCUUUUGUAGAAACACUGUACCUCAGUACUUUGAGAAAGAAAGAACCCAUGAAGGCCAGCUGUGGUGCCAUGCAUCUGUACUCUCAGCACUCCAGAGGCAGACAGAGUUCUCUGGAUCCUCUGCUUGGGAGGUCUCCUUCCCCCAAAAGGGACAUCGUGGCCCAGCUUGGCAGGGAGCUGGGAAGCCAAUGCUGACGAGAGGUGACCCCACCUUGAACUCUGCUGGCAAGGAAGUGCGGUCCAUAAGGAGAACAGGAGUCUGGGCUUCUUCACUCUCUUGGCCGGACCGUCAAUACUUUGAGGCAGACCCUGAACUUCUUGGGCUCAAAGAACAGGGCUGAAGACCCCAGGCUGUGGGGCAGGCAGCCACUCCUCAGCUGGAAUGGGAAGUAUAUUAUAUUGCUGACUCCCACCCCCAGGGCAGGG
rnacentral:lncRNA from 1 species